CUCCUGCUCUGCUGUUCAUGCUCCAGCACCUUCCUACCCCCGUGCAUUUAACCCCACUCAGCCUUGGUGGCCUUGUCUGUGGGAGAGAUGAUACCACCAGCCCUGCAGGGCUUUUGUGAGGUGGAAAAUGCCCUUACAGCGCUGCAGGACUGGGGGUGCUCCCAGACCCCGAAUGGGAAGAGGUGGGAGACUGUGUGUUAGGGGUGGCUGGGACAACGGGAAGAUGGACAAUAGUUCCUGCUCCUGGAGCCCAGAAGCCUUAGUCUUCUCAUCCCUGCUCCUUCCAUCAGACUUCCUCUGAAGCCUCGGGGGCAGGGGCAGAGGACGAGCUUGAGAAGGAGGGUCAGUGCAGUUAAGCUGGAGCUCUUGACAUUUUAAGAGCAGAAAAGAAUUCUGGAAAAAACUGGGACAGGAGCCAGGCUCGGCGAUGGGUGGAGUGAAAUCCGAUGGUAUCUACUGUGUGCAAGGCUGUGUGCCAAGUGCUAGGGAUAGAAGGUAAAUAGAGCCCUGGUUCCUGUCUAUACACCUGCUGGGACAGAUGGACAGGACAACACAUCAGUGAGCAUGCCCGUCUAGGGCAUCUGCGCCAGGGAACCUGCGGACCCGGCCGACCUGUCAGGUACCUACUGCAUUUGGAAACAAACCAUCUUCUGGCCGACUGGGGAGCCCAGUGAGGGUGCUAAAUAUCCCCCAGUGACUUAAGUCCUCUCCACUUAAGACAGUUCACCUGCUCCUGGCCUCUGCGAUUUCUGUUUUCUUUCUGAAAUGGCCGUGUGGCCAGGAAAUCUAUGUGUGUCACUCCGCCUGCUCCUAGCUCUUCCAACUUCAUCGACCAAGAACUGUUCCCAUGGGGUGGAAGUUCCAAACUGGCUUCUUAAAGAGACUUCUAAUUUCUUCCAAACUAAAUGAUAAAUCAACGAAGAAAACACAGGCCACCUUGCAAACCUCUUUGGGCUGCAGGUGCACUUCUGAGAGGAGUAAGGAGGAGUUUCUCCCCAGGAAGGGCCUGCCAAAAGAAGAGCAGUGUUCUGGGGUGGUGGUUCUUAAACGCUAGCAUGAGAAGGCACGGACUGCUGCCCCCUCUCCCCGCCCCCCCAGAGUUUCUGAUUCAAGAGGGCCAGGGUGGGGCUGGAGAAUUUGCAUUUCCAGCAAGCUGCCAGAAGAUGCUGAUGCUUCUAGUCCAAGAACCACUGUUCAAGGCAAAAGGGACAGACAGCAAAGCCUUGAGACAGCAAAGAGCUUGGUGCAUUCAAGGACUAGAAAGGAGUCUGGCGUGGCUGCAGGGUAAAGAACAAGGGACUGAAAAGGGAGGCAGGGGCCGUGUCAUGCAAUAAGAACACACACACACACAAUUUUUGAAGGGAACUGUGUAGGGAGGUUAAUGACCUGAUUUACUUUUGCAUUUGUUAUUUUAUUAGAUUCUCUUCACAGUUACCACACUGUGAGCUCUGUGC
rnacentral:lncRNA from 1 species